AUUGAACGCUGGCGGCAAGCCUAACACAUGCAAGUCGAACGAGUGGCGGACGGGUGAGUAAUGUCUGGGAAACUGCCUGAUGUAGGGGGCUAACUACUGGAAACGGUAGCUAAUACCGCAUACCAUCGGAUGUGCCCAGAUGGGAUUAGCUAGUCGGUGGGGUAAAGGCUCACCUAGGCGACGAUCCCUAGCUGGUCUGAGAGGGUGACCAGCCACACUGGAACUGAGACACGGUCCAGACUCCGACGGGAGGCAGCAGUGGGGAAUAUUGCACAAUGGGCGCAAGCCUGACGCAGCCAUGCCGCGUGUAUGAAGAAGGCCUUCGGGUUGUAAAGUACUGUCAGCGGGGAGGCGGUACCCGCAGAGGAAGCACCGGCUAACUCCGUGCCAGCAGCCGCGGUAAUUC
rnacentral:rRNA from 1 species